rnacentral:rRNA from 2 species
CGCAGCUACACAUGCAAGUCGAGCGGUAACAGGGGUAGCUUGCUACCCGCUGACGAGCGGCGGACGGGUGAGUAAUGCAUAGGAAUCUGCCCGAUAGUGGGGGAUAACCUGGGGAAACCCAGGCUAAUACCGCAUACGUCCUACGGGAGAAAGGGGGCUCCGGCUCCCGCUAUUGGAUGAGCCUAUGUCGGAUUAGCUAGUUGGUGAGGUAAUGGCUCACCAAGGCAACGAUCCGUAGCUGGUCUGAGAGGAUGAUCAGCCACAUCGGGACUGAGACACGGCCCGAACUCCUACGGGAGGCAGCAGUGGGGAAUAUUGGACAAUGGGCGAAAGCCUGAUCCAGCCAUGCCGCGUGUGUGAAGAAGGCCCUCGGGUUGUAAAGCACUUUCAGCGAGGAAGAACGCCUAGUGGUUAAUACCCAUUAGGAAAGACAUCACUCGCAGAAGAAGCACCGGCUAACUCCGUGCCAGCAGCCGCGGUAAUACGGAGGGUGCAAGCGUUAAUCGGAAUUACUGGGCGUAAAGCGCGCGUAGGUGGCUUGAUAAGCCGGUUGUGAAAGCCCCGGGCUCAACCUGGGAACGGCAUCCGGAACUGUCAAGCUAGAGUGCAGGAGAGGAAGGUAGAAUUCCCGGUGUAGCGGUGAAAUGCGUAGAGAUCGGGAGGAAUACCAGUGGCGAAGGCGGCCUUCUGGACUGACACUGACACUGAGGUGCGAAAGCGUGGGUAGCAAACAGGAUUAGAUACCCUGGUAGUCCACGCCGUAAACGAUGUCGACCAGCCGUUGGGUGCCUAGCGCACUUUGUGGCGAAGUUAACGCGAUAAGUCGACCGCCUGGGGAGUACGGCCGCAAGGUUAAAACUCAAAUGAAUUGACGGGGGCCCGCACAAGCGGUGGAGCAUGUGGUUUAAUUCGAUGCAACGCGAAGAACCUUACCUACUCUUGACAUCCUGCGAACUUGUGAGAGAUCACUUGGUGCCUUCGGGAACGCAGAGACAGGUGCUGCAUGGCUGUCGUCAGCUCGUGUUGUGAAAUGUUGGGUUAGUCCCGUACGAGCGCAACCCUUGU